UAUUUUUAGAUUUUUAGACAUACUAUGAUGAUCAACCAAUCAAAAAUGUUUUAAGUGUAUUGACUUCUUGUUGACUAGAGAAUUGUACGAUAGAGAGCGCAUGCUACGUACAUAUAUUACAAUUUAGCUGAUAUUGACUAAAAAUUUGCCGAGAGAGGCGGCAUAGUCGCAGUCAGGUGCAAGGAAACAUUUUCUCUUCAAUUCAUAGAAUACCGUCAUGUCUACUUCAAAUUGAAUUCAGAGUCGAUUUGAUUGGAUUGUGAGUGAUUUUUUGUUACUCGAUUACGUGAUACUCAUAAUAGUGAAUUAUUUAAAACAAUAAUAAAAAUUUACUUAGUCUCAAGUGGUUUUUUACAUCGAUACAAAAAUACUUGAAAAUACUGCAGAACUGUUCAAUAAUGAACAAACUUUGAACAAAAUAUUGGCUGAUUUAUUAGCAGUGUAUAUAGGAAUUGAUUACAAAAUCAAAGAAAGAAUUAUUAAAUAUAACAAACAAAAAUUUGAAACGAUAUUGAAACGUUGAUUGAAUGUGGCAACGCAAUUUGCAAUUUUGCGAACUAACCAAUUAACACGGAUUAAGCACAUGUAUAUUAAUCAUUGAUACAAAUUAAUAGGCGAUAUAUGGCACCAAUUUAAACGAUAUUGACAAUAAUAUAACAAAAUAAUAAUGAGAUGUCACAAAAGUGAAGAAAAUAAAAUAUUGAAAAAAAAGAAGAAAAAAAAGAUGAAAUAUAAUUAUGAAAAAAACGAUAGUAAAACAAAAAUUUUUCGAUAACUAUUAUAACAAUAAGAAUUUAGUCCAUACUCUUUAAAAUUUUAAAUAUAAUUGGGCUUAUAAAUAAUUAUUUGCAAAUAAUAAAAAAAGAAUAUAUUUGCAAACUGUUUGAAAAAAAUAUAAAUGUUGUUAUAAGGAAACUUAAUCAAGGGUAAGCGUGUUCAACUAAUUGCAAGUUAUACUUUAUAAUUGCUAUUAAAUGUGAAAAACAUAGAAUUUUAAAAAUAAUUUUAAGAAGUAUUUGUUUGUGUCGCAUGAACAUUUAAUAAUUUAAUGAUUUUUAUUUUAAUUCAUUUUUACAUAUAUUUGAAAUUAUCAAAAAUCUUAAUAUAUCGAAAACAUAUUUUUUAUUUUUUAUUUUUUUAAUUUUAAUGGAAAAAAAAUUGAAAUUUUUUUCUUUCAUUGAAAGUUUUUCAGUAACUAACAUGUUACUACUUGUGCGUGUAUAUAUAUAUGUAAUAUAUUUAUCUUUUUAUCUUUUAAAAUGUAGAUUUUUCUAUUUCAAUAAA